UAAUUAACAGGUGGUGGAUGUAUGGAGACAAAGUUUUGAAUGAAGAACAGUCUAAUGCUGGAUUUCGAAUUAGAGGAUGGUUUCCACGGCGAUGUGUGGAGAAGUGUCAUUAUGACUCUGCGAAUAAUUCGGCAAGUGAAGAAAAGAAAGAGCAAUGAUACAGAAUUAUAUAUAUUUCACAGCUUGCUUUGAACAGAGGACCUAAUAUUAGGGCCUGAACCCUGCUGAGAUGCAAAUUUCUUUCUGAUUCUUUUGUAAAGCUGUUCAAUGGCACCAGCGCUAAGUGUUGAAGCAAACUGAUACUGACAGACGCCCCAAAGUUAUUAACUUGCAUAACUUAAUAACAUUUCAUUUCCAAAGAACAGCUGCCAGAGAAACUGGCAAAUGAGAAGGAAAAAGGGGUUUUUAUUAAAAUGGGAUUGGGGCAUAUGUUAUUUAAAGUGGGUUAUUAAGAUGUCUACUUGAAACUUAUUUCUUCUUCUUCUUGCCUUUCUCUUACUCGCUUGCUCUCUCUUGUUUAUUGAUGCCCACGCUGAUUAUGCAAAGCCUUUUUUCCAGUUGUAACAAGGUCUUUGUCAUGCAAAUUGUCUGAAUUGUUUAUAUAAUUGAAACAACAAUUCUGUUUUAUUUUUGAUGGCUUACUUUUUUGUAAAACUGAUGUCAACCUCGCUGAAGUUUUCAGAGGCAAAUAAACAUCCGUGAUCUGUA